rnacentral:rRNA from 1 species
AUGAUAACAAUUAGUGGCAGACGGGUGAGUAAUGCAUAGGAAUCUACCUAGUAGUAUGGGAUAGCCACUAGAAAUGGUGGGUAAUACUGUAUAAUCCCUGCGGGGGAAAGAUUUAUCGCUAUUAGAUGAGCCUAUGUUAGAUUAGCUAAUUGGUAGGGUAAAGGCCUACCAAGGCAGUGAUCUAUAGCUGGUCUGAGAGGAUGAUCAGCCACACUGGAACUGAGAUACGGUCCAGACUCCUACGGGAGGCAGCAGUGGGGAAUAUUGGACAAUGGGCGCAAGCCUGAUCCAGCUAUGCCGCGUGAGUGAGGAAGGCCUUAGGGUUGUAAAACUCUUUCAGUGGGGAAGAUAAUGACGGUACCCACAGAAGAAGUCCCGGCAAACUCCGUGCCAGCAGCCGCGGUAAUACGGAGGGGGCAAGCGUUGUUCGGAAUUAUUGGGCGUAAAGGGCAUGUAGGCGGUUCGGUAAGUUAAAGGUGAAAUGCCAGGGCUUAAC